rnacentral:rRNA from 1 species
GAUGAACGCUGGCGGCGUGCCUAAUACAUGCAAGUCGAGCGAACGGACGAGAAGCUUGCUUCUCUGAUGUUAGCGGCGGACGGGUGAGUAACACGUGGAUAACCUACCUAUAAGACUGGGAUAACUUCGGGAAACCGGAGCUAAUACCGGAUAAUAUUUUGAACCGCAUGGUUCAAAAGUGAAGGACGGUCUUGCUGUCACUUAUAGAUGGAUCCGCGCUGCAUUAGCUAGUUGGUAAGGUAACGGCUUACCAAGGCAACGAUGCAUAGCCGACCUGAGAGGGUGAUAGGCCACACUGGAACUGAGACACGGUCCAGACUCCUACGGGAGGCAGCAGUAGGGAAUCUUCCGCAAUGGGCGAAAGCCUGACGGAGCAACGCCGCGUGAGUGAUGAAGGUCUUCGGAUCGUAAAACUCUGUUAUUAGGGAAGAACAUAUGUGUAAGUAACUGUGCACAUCUUGACGGUACCUAAUCAGAAAGCCACGGCUAACUACGUG